rnacentral:rRNA from 1 species
CCUACGGGAGGCUGCAGUCGAGAAUCUUCGGCAAUGGGCGCCAGCCUGACCGAGCGACGCCGCGUGGAGGACGAAGGCCUUCGGGUUGUAAACUCCUGUCGGGGGGGAGCAAGCCGCCGUGGAGAACGGCGGCCGAGCGGUCCCCGGAGGAAGCACGGGCUAAGUUCGUGCCAGCAGCCGCGGUAAGACGAACCGUGCGAACGUUAUUCGGAAUUACUGGGCUUAAAGCGCGUGUAGGCGGGCCGGCACGUCGGUCGCUGAAAUCCCGCGGCUCAACCGCGGAACGGGCGCCGAUACGACCGGCCUGGAGGGGGGUAGGGGGAGCCGGAACUCACGGUGGAGCGGUGAAAUGCGUUGAGAUCGUGAGGAACGCCCGUGGCGAAAGCGGGCUCCUGGACCCCGCCUGACGCUGAGACGCGAAAGCCAGGGGAGCGAACGGGAUUAGAUACCCUAGUAGUC